rnacentral:rRNA from 1 species
UACAGAGGUGGCAAGCGUUGUUCGGAAUUACUGGGCGUAAAGGGCGCGUAGGCGGGCUGCCAAGUCCGGGGUGAAAUCCUCCGGCUUAACCGGAGAAUGGCCUCGGAUACUGGCGGCCUGGAGGGGGGUAGGGGCGUGCGGAACUGUGGGUGGAGCGGUGAAAUGCGUUGAGAUCCACAGGAACUCCGGUGGCGAAGGCGGCACGCUGGACCCUUUCUGACGCUGAGGCGCGAAAAGCCAGGGGGAGCGAACGGG